AUUGAACGCUGGCGGCAGGCUUAACACAUGCAAGUCGAGCGAGCGGCGGACGGGUUAGUAAUGUCUGGGAAACUGCCUGAUGGAGGGGGAUAACUACUGGAAACGGUAGCUAAUACCGCAUACCAUCAGAUGUGCCCAGAUGGGAUGAGCUAGUGGGGGGGGUAAUGGCUCACCUAGGCGACGAUCCCUAGCUGGUCGGAGAGGAUGCCCAGCAACACUGGAAUUGAGACACGGUCCAGACUCCUACGGGAGGCAGCAGUGGGGAAUAUUGCACAAUGGGCGAAAGCCUGAUGCAGCCAUGCCGCGUGUGGGAAGAAGGCCUUCGGGUUGUAAAGCACGUUCAGCGAGGAGGCGUUACGCGCAGAAGAAGCACCGGCUAACUCCGUGCCAGCCGCCGCGGUAAUAC
rnacentral:rRNA from 1 species